GAUGAACGCUGGCGGUAUGCUUAACACAUGCAAGUCGAACGGACUCUUCGGAGUUAGUGGCGGACGGGUGAGUAACGCGUGAGAAUCUAGCUUUGGGUACGGGACAACUACUGGAAACGGUGGCUAAUACCGGAUGUGCCGAGAGGUAAAAGAGAAAUUGCCUGAAUAUGAGCUCGGGUCUGAUUAGCUAGUUGGUGAGGUAAAGGCUCACCAAGGCAGCGAUCAGUAGCUGGUCUGAGAGGAUGACCAGCCACACGGGGACUGAGACACGGCCCAGACUCCUAGGGGGGGGAGGAGUGGGGAAUUGCACGCAAUGGGCGAAAGUGUGACGGAGACAUACCGUGUGAGAGAAGAAGGCUCUUGGGUUGUAAAGCUCUUUUCUUAGGGAAGAACAAAGUGACGGUACCUAAGGAAUCAGCAUCGGCUAACUCCGUG
rnacentral:rRNA from 1 species